GACGAACGCUGGCGGCGUGCUUAACACAUGCAAGUCGAACGAUGAAGCUGGAGCUUGCUCUGGCGGAUUAGUGGCGAACGGGCGAGUAACACGUGAGAAAUCUGCCCUUGACUCUGGGAUAACUGCGGGAAACUGUAGCUAAUACCGGAUACUUUCCUUGGUGGGCAUCCACUGGGGAAGAAAGAACUUCGGUCAAGGUUGAUCUCGCGGCCUAUCAGCUUGUUGGUGAGGGAAUGGCUCACCAAGGCGACGACGGGUAGCCGGCCUGAGAGGGUGACCGGCCACACUGGGACUGAGACACGGCCCAGACUCCUACGGGAGGCAGCAGUGGGGAAUAUUGCACAAUGGGCGCAAGCCUGAUGCAGCAACGCCGCGUGAGGGAUGAAGGCCUUCGGGUUGUAAACCUCUUUUAGCAGGGAAGAAGCGAAAGUGACGGUACCUGCAGAAAAAGCACCGGCUAACUACGUGCCAGCCGCCGCCGUAA
rnacentral:rRNA from 1 species